CCAUAGCUGACCGAGCGUGUCCGGUCGGCCAAAAUGAAAGCCAAGGGCCCCUCCUCCGACGGACAACGGCACGGAACACACCAAACAGACUCGAGCCACAGACCCCGCCGGACUGUCCGGCGGCCGUUUAUCGGGUGAACACGCCGUAGUGCUUCCCGCUGGACUUGUCCCCGCACACCACACAGUCCACCACGCAAGCCUUGUCCUCGUCCCCGACGUCUACAUCGCUGCUCCCGGCCUGAGGCGAGCUCUCCUCUUCCUCCCUUCUCAGGUCAGGAAUGCAGCUGCUCUCAGCGUGAAGUCGAGUGUGGCGGAGUCUGUGCAUUCUCAACACAGUAAGGAGGCCAGAGCCACCAGAGUGAAGCAGACAAACCUUUAGUUCACUCACCUGAACACUGCACACACACACACACACACACAUGCCACACACACAUGCACAGGGAUAUGACAACACACCUCCAAUGUAAUCCUUUUAUAUCUCCCCAGUUUGUUUAAAAAUAAUUAAAUAGAAAAAACAUUUUCACAUAA